GGCAGGGACUGUAGAGAUAAUGAUCUUCCCUGCUCUCAAAGGGGUCCCCGUCAGAGAAAGAUGAGAAAUCAGACCAUCAACAACCACGCAGGGGCAUCUGGCUGAGCCUGAGGCUUGAGAAAGGCUUUCCAAGAACAUGGAUUUAAUAAAAUUCCCUGCCCUGCAUAAGACUGUUUUGAUUAAAGAAUGCCUAGCACACAGCAAAUCUUCAUCAAAUGUCAGUUUUCAUUAGAUGUUUCCUGCAUGGUUUGUCUCCUCAGUCAUCGUCCAGAGGACUCUGAGAAGCUGUAGGAAUAUGCAGGCGCAGACUCAAGGCCCGGCUUCAUCUCCAACGUUGUGGAAAGGGACUGUACGUCACGGGGCAGAGCCCUAUGCUCCCGUAUGCCACCUGGACAGAGCCCGGGGAGAGUGACCUCCCGGGAGUAUCCACGUUGGAAUGCCUAUGAUUAAACAGCAUCACCCUCAAAACAUUUUAAGAGAUUCCAUGUCCCCCCAUUCCAUUCUACACGAGUGAAUUUGAGGAAAGCCUGUUUAAAACCCAGUGGUUUACUACUGUUUCAUGGUUUCUCUACUUAAUUAGUCAUUGUCCUAGGACUAUUCAGGUACAUACACCCACCUUCAUCUCCAGUAUCAUGGAAAGGGCUCGUAUUGGACACCAAAUGCUUGGCUACCAUACACAGACUUUGAGGGAGUAUGCACAUUUGUUUUGUUUAUAGGACUUGCACGCAAGCUUUGCUAAUCUUGACUUUGGUUAAUUCACCCAAUUUUUCCAUUAGCAGCAAGUUUCUACCCUAUCACAUGAGAAAGAUGUGAAAAUAUUAACUUUUAUUGAAUAAAUAGCUAUCUUCCCAGACAUAAGAAUACAUUUACGAAACUGUCAACAUGCCAACAAAAAUGCAGCAAAGUUUCUAUCUGGAUGUAUUAAUGGCAGGAACACAUUCAUGAAAAGGAACUGGGCUGGAAUGAUUUAAAUGUCAACAGGAAAUAAAAGCCAAAAACAAUUCUUACCCCAAAUUCUUUGGUUU